rnacentral:rRNA from 1 species
UUGUCUCAAAGAUUAAGCCAUGCAUGUCUAAGUACAAGCCAAAUUAAGGUGAAACCGCGAAAGGCUCAUUAAAUCAGUUAUGGUUCCUUAGAUCGUACCCACAAUUACUUGGAUAACUGUGGUAAUUCUAGAGCUAAUACAUGCAUAUAGAGCUCCGCCCAGAGAUGGAAGGAGCGCUUUUAUUAGAACAAAACCAAUCGGCGGCGGGAGUUCGCUUUCGUCGUCGUCCAAUUUGGUGACUCUGAAUAACUUUUGGCAGAUCGCACGGUCAUCGCACCGGCGACGCAUCUUUCAAAUGUCUGCCUUAUCAACUUUCGAUGGUAGGUUCUGCGCCUACCAUGGUUGUAACGGGUAACGGGGAAUCAGGGUUCGAUUCCGGAGAGGGAGCCUGAGAAACGGCUACCACAUCCAAGGAAGGCAGCAGGCGCGCAAAUUACCCACUCCCGGCACGGGGAGGUAGUGACGAAAAAUAACGAUACGGGACUCAUCCGAGGCCCCGUAAUCGGAAUGAGAACACUUUAAAACCUUUAACGAGGAUCAAUUGGAGGGCAAGUCUGGUGCCAGCAGCCGCGGUAAUUCCAGUUCCAAUAGCGUAUAUUAAAGUUGUUGCGGUUAAAAAGCUCGUAGUCGAAUUUGUGUUUCGCGACGCCGGUACAUCGUACGCGGUGUCUACUGGCGUUGUUCGCGAGACGUCCUGCCGGUGGGUUUAGAUCGUUCGUUCGAUUCGUUCGGAUGGUCGACGCCCAACUUAAUCCUGUCGCGGUGCUCUUCACUGAGUGUCGGGGCGGGCCGGCUCUUUUACUUUGAACAAAUUAGAGUGCUUAAAGCAGGCUAAAAUUUCGCUUGAAUAUUGGUGCAUGGAAUAAUGGAAUAGGACCUCGGUUCUAUUUUGUUGGUUUUCGGAACUCCGAGGUAAUGAUUAAUAGGAACGGAUGGGGGCAUUCGUAUUGCGACGUUAGAGGUGAAAUUCUUGGAUCGUCGCAAGACGGACAGAAGCGAAAGCAUUUGCCAAAAACGUUUUCAUUGAUCAAGAACGAAAGUUAGAGGUUCGAAGGCGAUCAGAUACCGCCCUAGUUCUAACCGUAAACUAUGCCAGCUAGCGAUCCGCCGAUGUUCCUCCGAUGACUCGACGGGCAGCCUCCGGGAAACCAAAGCUUUUGGGUUCCGGGGGAAGUAUGGUUGCAAAGCUGAAACUUAAAGGAAUUGACGGAAGGGCACCACCAGGAGUGGAGCCUGCGGCUUAAUUUGACUCAACACGGGAAACCUCACCAGGCCCGGACACCGGAAGGAUUGACAGAUUGAGAGCUCUUUCUUGAUUCGGUGGGUGGUGGUGCAUGGCCGUUCUUAGUUGGUGGAGCGAUUUGUCUGGUUAAUUCCGAUAACGAACGAGACUCUAGCCUGCUAAAUAGGCGUAUCUUGACAUCUCAAAGGCCGGCCGGCGUCUUGGUUUACGCCAGUUCGUCGCGCUCGGUUUUUACUGUCGGCGUCUUAAUAAUUCUUCUUAGAGGGACAGGCGGCUUCUAGCCGCACGAGAUUGAGCAAUAACAGGUCUGUGAUGCCCUUAGAUGUUCUGGGCCGCACGCGCGCUACACUGAAGGAAUCAGCGUGUCCUCCCUGGCCGAGCGGCCCGGGUAACCCGCUGAACCUCCUUCGUGCUAGGGAUUGGGGCUUGCAAUUGUUCCCCAUGAACGAGGAAUUCCCAGUAAGCGCGAGUCAUAAGCUCGCGUUGAUUACGUCCCUGCCCUUUGUACACACCGCCCGUCGCUACUACCGAUUGAAUGAUUUAGUGAGGUCUUCGGACCGAUACGCGAUGGCGUUUCGGCGUCGUCGAUGUGUCCGGGAAGAUGACCAAACUUGAUCAUUU